AUUUUACGCGGCGGAAUGCUUUACACAUGCAAGUCGAACGGCAGCACGGGGGCAACCCUGGUGGCGAGUGGCGAACGGGUGAGUAAUAUAUCGGAACGUGCCCAGUCGUGGGGGAUAACGUAGCGAAAGUUACGCUAAUACCGCAUACGAUCUACGGAUGAAAGCGGGGGAUCGCAAGACCUCGCGCGAUUGGAGCGGCCGAUAUCAGAUUAGGUAGUUGGUGAGGUAAAGGCUCACCAAGCCAACGAUCUGUAGCUGGUCUGAGAGGACGACCAGCCACACUGGGACUGAGACACGGCCCAGACUCCUACGGGAGGCAGCAGUGGGGAAUUUUGGACAAUGGGCGCAAGCCUGAUCCAGCCAUUCCGCGUGCAGGACGAAGGCCUUCGGGUUGUAAACUGCUUUUGUACGGAACGAAAAAGCCUUGGCUAAUACCCAGGGUCCAUGACGGUACCGUAAGAAUAAGCACCGGCUAACUACGUGCCAGCAGCCGCGGUAAUACGUAGGGUGCAAGCGUUAAUCGGAAUUACUGGGCGUAAAAGCGUGCGCAGGCGGUUAUAUAAGACAGAUGUGAAAUCCCCGGGCUCAACCUGGGAACUGCAUUUGUGACUGUAUAGCUAGAGUGCGGCAGAGGGGGAUGGAAUUCCGCGUGUAGCAGUGAAAUGCGUAGAUAUGCGGAGGAACACCGAUGGCGAAGGCAAUCCCCUGGGCCUGCAC
rnacentral:rRNA from 1 species